UUGUACACUCAGUACAUUAAUAGUAUUGGUACCGUGUUCUUGCCGUAACCUGUAAAGCUGGAGCAGCCUGCGAGGCAGGGGGAGGUGUAGGUGAUGCCGUUGUCUGAACACACAGGGUCCCACUCCCCAGCCAAGCAGGAGCAGUCUCUGUUACACUCUGACAACAGGCUGCCAUCGUACACCAGGGGACCUGGGGGACAGAGAAAAUGGCUGGUAAUAAUGAUGUUUAAAUAAUUGUUGCUGAACUAUCAUUGACACAGGCACAGUGACAAAACAGCCAGGAAUCCUGGCUCAGUAACAACCAUACUGUAUAUGCCCACAAGGGGGAGCCCCGGCACAAGCCCAUGUGUGUUUUGGUCUAACUCUCCCUCAUAUUCCACUGAUCAAAAUUUUUAUUUUUAUCAACCCACCCACCAACCAACCAAUCAGAUGUCAAAUUUACCCAUUCUAGGACAAGGUCAGACCAGCCACAUGAACGUGCCAGAAUGCAGAGGGAGGAGGAGGUUGGCCAUGAAGGAGGUGAUGAAAGACAGUUGGGCUCCAGACACAACGCCAAGCUUAUACCUCUUCAUCAGUAGACCUCCCAGGAAUAUCCCCACCGCACCCACAGAUAACUCAUCAUCACAAAAAUCCCUGAAAUCAUUAUCUAUCUUCUUAGCAAUGUUUGCAACACGUCAUGCUCUAUCAACUGAGCUACGAAGGAGCACGUCGACGUCACUAGAAUGAUGACAAGCAAUUUUAACGUAUUCUAAAGGGAAUCAUAGAAUUCCAAACUAAUUUCUAUGGCAACACAGUUGUCAAUUUUGUAAACAAUCAUUUUCAAACGUGUGUUGCCAAGAGACAUCUAACCGACGUUCUAUGGAACGUUUUCUGUGCGAAAAAACAACUUCAGUUUGCUGCUGACAACAAACUUGUUUGAUUUUUGAGACCUGAGAACAAUCGACUGGAAAAUGCCUGGGUGCUUUUCAAGACUGGCGGAGAGAGUGCGUGGACGUCGGCGGCCUAAUGCUUCGACAGGUUGUUCAAAUUCAUUUGUGGCUUGUUUUUCUUGUCUUUUUCUGUUUUGCAG
ensembl:lncRNA